CCUACGGGGGGCUGCAGUGGGGAACAUUGCACAAUGGGCGCAAGCCUGAUGCAGCCAUGCCCCGUGUGUGAAGAAGGCCUUCGGGUUGUAAAGCACUUUCAGCGGGGAGGAAGGCGGUGAGGUUAAUAACCUCAUCGAUUGACGUUACCCGCAGAAGAAGCACCGGCUAACUCCGUGCCAGCAGCCGCGGUAAUACGGAGGGUGCAAGCGUUAAUCGGAAUUACUGGGCGUAAAGCGCACGCAGGCGGUCUGUCAAGUCGGAUGUGAAAUCCCCGGGCUCAACCUGGGAACUGCAUUCGAAACUGGCAGGCUAGAGUCUUGUAGAGGGGGGUAGAAUUCCAGGUGUAGCGGUGAAAUGCGUAGAGAUCUGGAGGAAUACCGGUGGCGAAGGCGGCCCCCUGGACAAAGACUGACGCUCAGGUGCGAAAGCGUGGGGAGCAAACAGGAUUAGAUACCCCAGUAGUC
rnacentral:rRNA from 1 species